CUGACUUCAAGAUCUUAGAUGAUGGGUUGUUUAGAUUUUAGAACUGAAUUUUGGUUCUUUUUGCUAUUAGAUUGGAUGUUCUCAAGAUUGCUUAUGCCUCCAAACUGUCCAUCCAUCUCAGGAGUAUAAAGAUGUACCAGGACCUGAAGCUCCAAUACUGGUGGUUGGGAAUAAAGAAGGACAUUUUCGACUACAUCUCUAGAUGCCUUACUUACUAGAGGAUUAAGGAAGAACA
rnacentral:lncRNA from 1 species